GAUGAACGCUGGCGGCGUGCCUAAUACAUGCAAGUAGAACGCUGAAGCUUGGUGCUUGCACCGAGCGGAUGAGUUGCGAACGGGUGAGUAACGCGUAGGUAACCUGCCUGGUAGCGGGGGAUAACUAUUGGAAACGAUAGCUAAUACCGCAUGACAACAGUUAUUGCAUGAUAACUGAUUAAAAGGGGCAAUUGCUCCACUACCAGAUGGACCUGCGUUGUAUUAGCUAGUUGGUGAGGUAACGGCUCACCAAGGCGACGAUACAUAGCCGACCUGAGAGGGUGAUCGGCCACACUGGGACUGAGACACGGCCCAGACUCCUACGGGAGGCAGCAGUAGGGAAUCUUCGGCAAUGGACGGAAGUCUGACCGAGCAACGCCGCGUGAGUGAAGAAGGUUUUCGGAUCGUAAAGCUCUGUUGUAAGAGAAGAACGAGUGUGAGAGUGGAAAGUUCACACUGUGACGGUAUCUUACCAGAAAGGGACGGCUAACUACGUG
rnacentral:rRNA from 1 species